rnacentral:rRNA from 1 species
UCAAGAAACUUCCACAAUGGGCGAAAGCCUGAUGGAGCGACGUCGCGUGAUGGACGAAGUGCUUCGGCACGUAAACAUCUUUUAUGUGGGAUGAAAUUAUUGACAGUACCACAUGAAUAAGGGGCUCCUAACUCUGUGCCAGCAGGAGCGGUAAUACAGAGGCCCCAAGCGUUAUCCGGAAUCACUGGGCGUAAAGGGUGUCGAGGCGGUUGUAUUAGUCGUUCGUAAAAUCUACGAGCUUAACUUGUAGGCGGCGAACGAAACGGUACGACUUGAGGUUUGGAGAGGUGCGUGGAACUCACGGUGUAGGGGUGAAAUCCGUUGAUAUCGUGGGGAGCACCAAAGGCGAAGGCAGCGCACUGGCCAAAAUCUGACGCUCACACACGAAAGCUAGGGUAGCGAAGAGGAUUAGAUACCCACGUAGUCCCUGAGCGGGCUGGCAAGGCGCAU